CUGUCGUCAGCUCGUGUUGUGAAAUGUUGGGUUAAGUCCCGCAACGAGCGCAACCCUUAUCCUUUGUUGCCAGCGGUUAGGCCGGGAACUCAAAGGAGACUGCCAGUGAUAAACUGGAGGAAGGUGGGGAUGACGUCAAGUCAUCAUGGCCCUUACGACCAGGGCUACACACGUGCUACAAUGGCAUAUACAAAGAGAAGCGACCUCGCGAGAGCAAGCGGACCUCAUAAAGUAUGUCGUAGUCCGGAUUGGAGUCUGCAACUCGACUCCAUGAAGUCGGAAUCGCUAGUAAUCGUAGAUCAGAAUGCUACGGUGAAUACGUUCCCGGGCCUUGUACACACCGCCCGUCACACCAUGGGAGUGGGUUGCAAAAGAAGUAGGUAGCUUAACCUUCGGGAGGGCGCUUACCACUUUGUGAUUCAUGACUGGGGUGAAGUCGUAACAAGGUAACCGUAGGGGAACCUGCGGUUGGAUCACCUCCUUACCUUAAAGAA
rnacentral:rRNA from 3 species